AGCAGCCGCGGUAAUUCCAGCUCCAAUAGCGUAUAUUAAAGUUGUUGCAGUUAAAAAGCUCGUAGUUGAAUUUCGGGAUCAAUACGUCGGUCGUGCUUCGGUACGUACUGGUGUCAUUGAUUUCUCCCUUCUGACGAACCAUGAUGUCAUUAACUUGGUGUCAUGGGAAAUCAGGACUGUUACUUUGAAAAAAUUAGAGUGUUUAAAGCAGGCUCACGCUUGAAUACAUUAGCAUGGAAUAAUGAAAUAGGACGUUUGAUUCUAUUUUGUUGGUUUCUAGGAUCGACGUAAUGAUUAAUAGGGAUAGUUGGGGGCAUUAGUAUUCAAUUGUCAGAGGUGAAAUUCUUGGAUUUAUUGAAGACUAACUACUGCGAAAGCAUUUGCCAAGGAUGUUUUCAUUAAUCAAGAACGGAAGUUAGGGAUCGAAGACGAUCAGAUACCGUCGUAGUC
rnacentral:rRNA from 1 species